rnacentral:rRNA from 1 species
UCAAUGUUAAUCAGAUCAGGGUUAGUCGGGUCCUUAGACGAACCCGAAAGGGGUAGUUGAUGGCAAGUCGUUUAAUAUUACGACACCUGCUUUAGAUUCGAUGGGGUGACGGGGUAGUGAACAGUCCGCGAUCUUACGGAAUAGAUCGUUAAAGGGUGUAGAUAUAGGUUGAGUAGGCAAAUCCGCUCGACUUGUCGAACCUGAUAGUACAGCAAAGCUUCGGCAGCGCUGAUAGUGACUCUAAUCAGACCUCCGAGAAAAACCUCUAAGUUAUGUUUAAAGCAGCCCGUACCGCAAACCGACACAGGUGGGUGGGAUGAGUAUUCUAAGGCGCUCGGGUGAGCCUUGGAGAAGGAACUAGGCAAAUUAACGCUGUAACUUCGGGAUAAAGCGUACCGAUUUCGGUCGGUCUCAGUAAAAUGGUACAACCAACUGUUUAGCAAAAACACAGGGCCCUGCAAAAUCGAAAGAUGACGUAUAGAGCCUGAUACCUGCCCGGUGCUGGAAGGUUAAGGAAGGAUGUUCGGCGCAAGCCAAAGCUUCUGACUGAAGCCCCAGUAAACGGCGGCCGUAACUAUAACGGUCCUAAGGUAGCGAAAUUCCUUGUCGGGUAAGUUCCGACCUGCACGAAUGGUCUAAUGAGUUGUACACUGUCUCCUCCAAGAGCCCGGUGAAAUUGUAGUAUCGGUGAAGAUGCCGGUUACCCGUCACGGGACGGAAAGACCCCAUGAACCUUCACUACAACUUUGCAUUGAUUUUGAAUUUUUGAUGUGUAGGAUAGUUGGGAGACUUUGAAGUGGUGUCGCUAGGCAUCAUGGAGUCGUCGUUGAAAUACCAACCUUUAAACAUUUAGAAUCUAAUCCCUAACGGGAAACAGUGCAUGGUGGGUAGUUUGACUGGGGUGGUCGCCUCCUAAAGUGUAACGGAGGCUUGCAAAGGUUCCCUCAGUACGGUUGGUAAUCGUACAUAGAGCGUAUUAGUAUAAGGGAGCUUGACUGUGAGACAUACAUGUCGAGCAGGGACGAAAGCCGGCUAAAGUGAUCCGGCGGUUCUGUAUGGAAGGGCCGUCGCUCAAAGGAUAAAAGGUACUCUGGGAUAACAGGCUGAUCUCCCCCAAGAGCUCAUAUCGACGGGGAGGUUUGGCACCUCGAUGUCGGUUCGUCACAUCCUGGGGCUGGAGAAGGUCCCAAGGGUUCGGCUGUUCGCCGAUUAAAGUGGCACGUGAACUGGGUUCAGAACGUCGCAAGACAGUUCGGUCCCUAUCUGUGAUGGGCGCUAGUAAAUUGAGAGGAUAUGACUUUAGUACGAGAGGACCGAGUCGUACGUUCCGCUGGUGUAUCUGUUGUGCCGCCAGGUGCAAUGCAGAGUAGCUACGAACGGACAGGAUAAACGCUGAAAGCAUCUAAGCGUGAAACCUACCUCUAAAAAG